AUGGAUGUCCGAGGAAUCACUCAUUCGUCUCCCAGCCUUCUGUGCCAUGUCGCCAAACUAAAGUGGAUUUGCGAGAACAGUUCUUAUUUCGUUUUCCCCGUCCUCUUCCACAAGGCCAUAUUUGUGGUUGAAGUUGAUUUUAUGGUUGCUCAAAGUUCUGGAGCGAGCUGGAUGGAUUUUGAAUUGGUUCCUUUCCAUCAUACAUGGCUCGUGGUUCAAGUUUUAAGGUGUUAUAUGCUACAUGGAUUAGCUGCCUCACCCUCUGAACUUUUUAGCUCGGGUAGCGGGGAAGACACCCGCGCCAAUGGCCGUGCGGAACUCGCUGCCUGCGGCCACGCAUCCACUUGCAACCGGGCUGUGGGCGAGCCUGCUAUCACAGUCCUCGGAGGGUUCUGGCCACACUGGUCCCUGCAUGUGCACCCGCUGGGCGCGGCCUAG
rnacentral:rRNA from 1 species